rnacentral:rRNA from 1 species
CUCAGGAUGAACGCUAGCGGCAGGCUUAACACAUGCAAGUCGAGGGGUAACAGGGAGUAGCAAUACUCUGCUGACGACCGGCGCACGGGUGCGUAACGCGUAUGCAACCUACCUGUAACAGGGGGAAUAACGGAGAGAAAUUUCCACGUAAUGUCCCAUAUUGUUAAAGAUUCGCAUGUUCUUUAACGAAAGCUUCGGUGGUUACGGAUGGGCAUGCGUGACAUUAGGCUAGUUGGCGGGGCAACGGCCCACCAAGGCGACGAUGUCUAGGGGAGCUGAGAGGCUUAUCCCCCACACUGGUACUGAGACACGGACCAGACUCCUACGGGAGGCAGCAGUGAGGAAUAUUGGUCAAUGGACGGAAGUCUGAACCAGCCAGUGCCGCGUGGAGGAAGAAAAGGUCCUAUGGGUUGUAAACUCCUUUUGUUCGAGAGUAAUAAUCAGUUUGCGAACUGAGAUGAGAGUAUCGGACGAAUAAGCAUCGGCUAACUCCGUGCCAGCAGCUGC